rnacentral:rRNA from 1 species
GACGAACGCUGGCGGCGUGCUUAACACAUGCAAGUCGAACGGUAAGGCCCUUCGGGGUACACGAGUGGCGAACGGGUGAGUAACACGUGGGUGAUCUGCCCUGCACUUCGGGAUAAGCCUGGGAAACUGGGUCUAAUACCGGAUAGGACCACUGCCUGCAUGGGUGGGGGUGGAAAGCUUUUGCGGGGUGGGAUGGGCCCGCGGGCUAUCAGCUUGUUGGUGGGGUGAUGGCCUACCAAGGCGACGACGGGUAGCCGGCCUGAGAGGGUGGCCGGCCACAAUGGGACUGGGAUACGGCCCAGACUCCUACGGGAGGCAGCCGUGGGGAAUAUUGCACAAUGGGCGGAAGCCUGAUGCAGCGACGCCGCGUGAGGGAUGACGGCCUUCGGGUUGUAAACCUCUUUCAGCACCGACGAAGCGCAAGUGACGGUAGGUGCAGAAGAAGGACCGGCCAACUACGUGCCAGCCGCCGCCGUAA